GAUGAACGCUGGCGGCGUGCCUAAUACAUGCAAGUCGAGCGAAUGGAUUAAGAGCUUGCUCUUAUGAAGUUAGCGGCGGACGGGUGAGUAACACGUGGGUAACCUGCCCAUAAGACUGGGAUAACUCCGGGAAACCGGGGCUAAUACGGGAUAACAUUUUGCACCGCAUGUUUCGAAAUUGAAAGGCGGCUUCGCCUGUCACUUAUGGAUGGACCCGCGUCGCAUUAGCUAGUUGGUGAGGUAACGGCUCACCAAGGCAACGAUGCGUAGCCGACCUGAGAGGGUGAUCGGCCACACUGUGACUGAGACACGGCCCAGACUCCUACGGGAGGCAGCAGUAGGGAAUCUUCCGCAAUGGACGAAAGUCUGACGGAGCAACGCCGCGUGAGUGAUGAAGGCUUUCGGGUCGUAAAACUCUGUUGUUAGGGAAGAACAAGUGCUAGUUGAAUAAGCUGGCACCUUGACGGUACCUAACCAGAAAGCCACGGCUAACUACGUGCCAGCCGCCGCAGUAA
rnacentral:rRNA from 1 species